rnacentral:rRNA from 1 species
UACGGAGGGUGCAAGCGUUAUCCGGAUUCACUGGGUUUAAAGGGUGCGUAGGCGGGCAGGUAAGUCCGUGGUGAAAUCUCUGAGCUUAACUCAGAAACUGCCAUGGAUACUAUUUGUCUUGAAUAUUGUGGAGGUAAGCGGAAUAUGUCAUGUAGCGGUGAAAUGCUUAGAUAUGACAUAGAACACCAAUUGCGAGGGCAGCUUACUACACAGUAAUUGACGCUGAGGCACGAAAGCGUGGGGAUCAAACAGG